rnacentral:rRNA from 1 species
AGGACGAACGCUGGCGGCGUGGAUUAGGCAUGCAAGUCGAGCGAUAUCUAACCUUCGGGUUAGUGAAAGCGGCGAACGGGUGAGUAACACGUGAACAACCUGCCCUCACAUUCUGGAUAAUAAGCCGAAAGGCCUUGUAAUACAGGCGAGGAUUCUCCUUAGGCAUCUUUAGGAGAAGGGAAGGCGCAAGCCGUGCGAGGAGGGGUUCGCGGAUUAUCAGGUAGAGUGGUGGGUAACGGCCUACCAUGCCGACGACGAUUAGCUGGUCUGAGAGGAUGACGUCAGCCACGACUGGGACUGAGACACUCGCCCAGACUCCGUAACGGGA